AUUGAACGCUAGCUACAGGCUUAACACAUGCAAGUCGAGGGGAAACGAUAGAGAAAGCUUGCUUUUUCUAGGCGUCGACCGGCGCACGGGUGAGUAACGCGUAUCCAACCUGCCCAUCACUUGGGGAUAACCUUGCGAAAGUAAGACUAAUACCCAAUGACGUCUCUAGAAGACAUCUGAAAGAGAUUAAAGAUUUAUCGGUGAUGGAUGGGGAUGCGUCUGAUUAGCUUGUUGGCGGGAUAACGGCCCACCAAGGCGACGAUCAGUAGGGGUUCUGAGAGGAAGGUCCCCCACAUUGGAACUGAGACACGGUCCAAACUCCUACGGGAGGCAGCAGUGAGGAAUAUUGGUCAAUGGACAAGAGUCUGAACCAGCCAAGUAGCGUGCAGGAUGACGGCCCUAUGGGUUGUAAACUGCUUUUAUAAGGGAAUAAAGUGAGUCUCGUGAGACUUUUUGCAUGUACCUUAUGAAUAAGGACCGGCUAAUUCCGUGCCAGCAGCCGCAGUAACAC
rnacentral:rRNA from 1 species